rnacentral:rRNA from 1 species
GCAUAUCAAUAAGCGGAGGAAAAGAAAACCAACAGGGAUUGCCUCAGUAACGGCGAGUGAAGCGGCAAGAGCUCAAAUUUGAAAGCUGGCUCCUUCGGGGUCCGCAUUGUAAUUUGCAGAGGAUGCUUCGGGAGCGGUCCCCAUCUAAGUGCCCUGGAACGGGCCGUCAUAGAGGGUGAGAAUCCCGUCUGGGAUGGGGUGCCCGCGACCAUGUGAAGCUCCUUCGACGAGUCGAGUUGUUUGGGAAUGCAGCUCUAAAUGGGUGGUAAAUUUCAUCUAAAGCUAAAUAUUGGCCGGAGACCGAUAGCGCACAAGUAGAGUGAUCGAAAGAUGAAAAGCACUUUGAAAAGAGAGUUAAAAAGCACGUGAAAUUGUUGAAAGGGAAGCGCUUGCGACCAGACUCGCCCGCGGGGUUCAGCCGGUAUUCGUACCGGUGUACUUCCCCGUGGGCGGGCCAGCGUCGGUUUGGGCGGCCGGUCAAAGGCCCUCGGAAUGUAACGCCUCUCGGGGCGUCUUAUAGCCGAGGGUGCCAUGCGGCCAGCCCGGACCGAGGAACGCGCUUCGGCACGGACGCUGGCAUAAUGGUCGUAAGCGACCCGUCUUGAAACACGGACCAAGGAGUCUAACAUCUACGCGAGUGUUCGGGUGUCAAACCCGUGCGCGCAGUGAAAGCGAACGGAGGUGGGAACCCUUUGGGUGCACCAUCGACCGAUCCUGAUGUCUUCGGAUGGAUUUGAGUAAGAGCGUAGCUGUUGGGACCCGAAAGAUGGUGAACUAUGCCUGAAUAGGGCGAAGCCAGAGGAAACUCUGGUGGAGGCUCGCAGCGGUUCUGACGUGCAAAUCGAUCGUCAAAUUUGGGGUAUAGGGGCGAAAGACUAAUCGAAACCAUCUAGUAGCUGGUUCCUGCCGA